AUGAAGUGCCAAACCUCUCCCAUUGCUCUAAUGCAUGCAAUUUAUGACACUAAUGGUUGUUCUCCGCCUUGAAAAAAAACAAAUGGUAUGUCUUCAUCGCUCUUCUAUUUAUGUCCGUCUUAUGUUGGCGGUUCUGCUGCUAGGGCUAAUUUGAACGGUGGGGGGAGGAUGUCACGUUAAUGCUCACGAACUGACACCGUGAAGAUGAUGAUGAUGAUGAUGAGCCCAAAUGUUGACUGCACUUCCUGUUUAUUGACGCUCGUGCGCAGGUCCGUCUAUACUGUACUGUUCUAUGUGUAAAGCUAUCAAUGAAAAAAAAUCUAUCCCUUUAUUUAUUGUACUGCACCUUGUGUUGAUUUACUUUGUUCAAGAAUGACAAAUGAUAAUAAAAUGUCUGAAUUAAAUGUGUGUGCCUGUUGUCAUAUUCAAUGGCUUUACUCGUUAUCCAUCCACAGGGUGAUUGUGAAUGGAACCGAGUGUGAUCCAACACGCUCCCAAAAGAAAAAAAACAUUGUGACUCA